rnacentral:lncRNA from 1 species
CAUCUAUCCACAAAUAUUUUUGUUAUCAUAAUUUGUAAAUCACAAACCCAAAUCUUUAAUAAUUCUCAAAAAAUUAAAAACUUUCCAAAAAUAGCAUUUUUUAAGAAAAUUAUUUAAAAAUACUAUAUAUUGAUGAAAAAUUCUGAAAGAAUACUCAUUUAUCCACAAAUAAUUUUGUUAUCUUAAAUUCUAAAUCACAAACUCAAAUCUAGAAUAUUACUGAAAAAAAAAUAAAAACUUUCCAAAAAUAGUAGCUUUUAAGAAUAUUAUUAAAAUACAAUAUAAUGAUAAAAAAAUUCUGAAAGAAUACUCAUCUAUCCACAAAUAUUUUUGUUAUCAU